GGAAAAGCUACGCUAGGGAUUGAACAGGCUAAUUUGCGCAAGAAG
rnacentral:rRNA from 1 species